rnacentral:rRNA from 1 species
UACAGAGGGCAGCUACCCAGCAAUGGGAUGCGAAUCUCGAAAGCCUGUCUCAGUUCGGAUUGGAGGCUGAAACCCGCCUCCAUGAAGUUGGAUUCGCUAGUAAUCGCGCAUCAGCCAUGGCGCGGUGAAUACGUUCCCGGGCCUUGUACACACCGCCCGUCAAGCCAUGGGAGCCGGGGGUGCCUGAAGUUCGUGACCGCAAGGAGCGACCUAGGGCAAAACUGGUGACUGGGGCUAAGUCGUAACAAGGUAAC